rnacentral:rRNA from 1 species
AGCAGCCGCGGUAAUUCCAGCUCCAAUAGCGUAUAUUAAAGUUGUUGCAGUUAAAAAGCUCGUAGUUGAAUUUCGGGAUCAAUAUGUCUGUCGUGCCUUCGGUACGUACGGGUAUAAUUGGUUUCUACCUUCUGAUGAACCUUGAUGCCAUUAAUUUGGUGUCUUGGGGACUCAGGACUGUUACCUUGAAAAAAUUAGAGUGUUUAAAGCAGGCAUACGCUUGAAUACAUUAGCAUGGAAUAAUGAAAUAGGACGUUCGAUUCUAUUUUGUUGGUUUCUAGGAUCGACGUAAUGACUAAUAGGGAUAGUUGGGGGCAUUAGUAUUCAAUUGUCAGAGGUGAAAUUCUUGGAUUUAUUGAAGACUAACUACUGCGAAAGCAUUUGCCAAGGAUGUUUUCAUUAAUCAAGAACGAAAGUUAGGGGAUCGAAGACGAUCAGAUACCGUCGUAG